rnacentral:rRNA from 1 species
UGGGGAAUAUUGCACAAUGGGCGCAAGCCUGAUGCAGCCAUGCCGCGUGUAUGAAGAAGGCCUUCGGGUUGUAAAGUACUUUCAGCGAGGAGGAAGGCGGUAAGGUUAAUAACCUUAUCGAUUGACGUUACUCGCAGAAGAAGCACCGGCUAACUCCGUGCCAGCAGCCGCGGUAAUACGGAGGGUGCAAGCGUUAAUCGGAAUUACUGGGCGUAAAGCGCACGCGGGCGGUCUGUCAAGUCGGAUGUGAAAUCCCCGGGCUCAACCUGGGAACUGCAUUCGAAACUGGCAGGCUAGAGUCUUGUAGAGGGGGGUAGAAUUCCAGGUGUAGCGGUGAAAUGCGUAGAGAUCUGGAGGAAUACCGGUGGCGAAGGCGGCCCCCUGGACAAAGACUGACGCUCAGGUGCGAAAGCGUGGGGAGCAAACA